GACGAACGCUGGCGGCGUGCUUAACACAUGCAAGUCGAACGAUGAUGCCAGCUUGCUGGUGGAUUAGUGGCGAACGGGUGAGUAACACGCGGGUGAUCUGCCCCGAACUUUGGGAUAAGCCUGGGAAACUGGGUCUAAUACCGGAUAGUACCUUCCCUUGCAUGGGGGUUGGUGGAAAGCUCCGGCGGUUUGGGAUGGGCCCGCGGCCUAUCAGCUUGUUGGUGGGGUAAUGGCCUACCAAGGCGACGACGGGUAGCCGGCCUGAGAGGGCGACCGGCCACACUGGGACUGAGACACGGCCCAGACUCCUACGGGAGGCAGCAGUGGGGAAUAUUGCACAAUGGGCGCAAGCCUGAUGCAGCGACGCCGCGUGAGGGAUGACGGCCUUCGGGUUGUAAACCUCUUUCACCAGGGACGAAGCGUGAGUGACGGUACCUGGAGAAGAAGCACCGGCCAACUACGUG
rnacentral:rRNA from 1 species